rnacentral:misc_RNA from 1 species
GAUGAAGAACGUAGCGAAAUGCGAUAAGUAAUGUGAAUUGCAGAAUUCAGUGAAUCAUCGAAUCUUUGAACGCACAUUGCGCCCGCCAGUAUUCUGGCGGGCAUGCCUGUUCGAGCGUCAUUACAACCCUCAGGCCCCCGGGCCUGGCGUUGGGGAUCGGCGGAGCCCCCCGUGGGCACACGCCGUCCCCCAAAUACAGUGGCGGUCCCGCCGCAGCUUCCAUCGCGUAGUAGCUAACACCUCGCGACUGGAGAGCGGCGCGGCCACGCCGUAAAACACCCAACUCUUCGGAAGUUGACCUCGAAUCAGGUAGGAAUACCCGCUGAACUUAAGCAUAUCAAUAAGCGGAGGA